AAAAGCAAACUAUAUUAAAAAUUCCGAAGUAAUAAAAUAAGAAAUAAGUACAGGAUUUUUUUCUCUGCAGGUUUUGGAAAGUUUCAUUACUACAUAUUGUUCAUUUGUGGGUCACUCUUUGCCGCGGUCGCCAUCAGUGUGACUUCAGUGUCAUUUAUCGUGCCGUCAGCCCAAUGUGAUUUUCAGAUGUCAUCGUUGCACAAAGGCUUGCUAAACGGCGCUUCGAUGGUCGGUAAGUACAUUAUAAAAAUAUUUCGUUUAAUUCGCGUUUGCCGUACAGAGUAUAUCUAAUGUAUGUUUUAUUGUACGCUAUGUUUAUUUAGGAAUGUUUAGUGGAUCUUUUAUUUGGGGUUAUUUGGCGGAUUCUAGAGGCAGGAGGUAUACACUCAUAUGCAGCAUGCUGAUGGACGGUUUCUUUAGCUUUGCGUCCAGUGUGUCUCAGAUUUAUCCGGUAUUGAUAUUUUGUAGACUGAUGAGCGGAUUCGGGUAAGUGCAGAAUUUACGAUUUAAUGUAAACUAUAUUAUCAUUACAUAUUAGGUACGUUUUUAUAAACGGUUAAAUUUUUUCUUGGUUGUGAUUUAAAAUAAAAUUAAUCUAUGGUGUCAUUUAUUUAUCGUCAAGGAAUGAUUUUCCAAAAUGUCGAUAUAAUAUUAUUUAGUUAAAACUUAUUUAAAGUAUAUUUUAUUCAAUCGCAUACAUACAUAUAUAUUAAAAUAUCUUCUUCAGAGUUUCCGGUGCUACAGUACUCUAUUCGUAUCUCGGAGAGUUUGUCAACACCAAAUACCGCGAGAAAUUCCUGUGUUGGAUGGAAAUGUUCUGGACGAGUGGCAUUAUAAUACUUCCAUGUAAGCAAAUUUUCACAAGUACAUAAUUUUGUAACCUUAAUACAAUUUUACAUGAUUAAAUUAAUAAUAAUUUUUGUAAAUUAUAUAAAAUAUAGUUCAUCUAAUCUAUGAUAAUUUAUUGUGUAGUAUUUUAAAGUUUUAAAAUAAAAACGCGAAUUAAACAAAUAACAGAUUUAGCAUUUUUCAGGUGUAGCAUGGUUAAUUAUACCACAAACAUUUCG
rnacentral:lncRNA from 1 species